rnacentral:rRNA from 1 species
AACGAACGCUGGCGGCAGGCCUAACACAUGCAAGUCGAACGAACCUUUCGGGGUUAGUGGCGGACGGGUGCGUAACACGUGGGAACGUGCCUUUAGGUUCGGAAUAACUCAGGGAAACUUGUGCUAAUACCGAAUGUGCCCUUCGGGGGAAAGAUUAAUCGCCUUUAGAACGGCCCGCGUCUGAUUAGCUAGUUGGUUGGGGUAAUGGCUCACCAAGGCGACGAUCAGUAGCUGGUCUGAGAGGAUGAUCAGCCACAUUGGGACUGAGACACGGCCCAAACUCCUACGGGAGGCAGCAGUGGGGAAUAUUGCGCAAUGGGCGAAAGCCUGACGCAGCCAUGCCGCGUGAAUGAUGAAGGUCUUAGGAUUGUAAAACUCUUUCACCGGGGACGAUAAUGACGGUACCCGGAGAAGAAGCCCCGGCUAACUUCGUG